AACGAACGCUGGCGGCAGGCCUAACACAUGCAAGUCGAGCGCGCCCUUCGGGGUGAGCGGCGGACGGGUGAGUAACGCGUGGGAACGUGCCCUUCUCUGCGGAAUAGCCUCGGGAAACUGAGAGUAAUACCGCAUACGCCCUUUGGGGGAAAGAUUUAUCGGAGAAGGAUCGGCCCGCGUUGGAUUAGGUAGUUGGUGGGGUAAUGGCCCACCAAGCCGACGAUCCAUAGCUGGUUUGAGAGGAUGAUCAUCCACACUGGGACUGAGACACGGCCCAGACUCCUACGGGAGGCAGCAGUGGGGAAUCUUAGACAAUGGGGGCAACCCUGAUCUAGCCAUGCCGCGUGAGUGAUGAAGGCCUUAGGGUUGUAAAGCUCUUUCAGCUGGGAAGAUAAUGACGGUACCAGCAGAAGAAGCCCCGGCUAACUCCGUG
rnacentral:rRNA from 1 species